GACGAACGCUGGCGGCGUGCUUAACACAUGCAAGUCGAACGGAAAGGCCAUGCGCUUGUGGGGUUCUCGAUUGGCGAACGCGUGAGUAUAACAUGAGUAACCUGCCCUUGACUGUGUGAGAACUUCAGGAAACUGCGGCUAAUACCGGAUAUGAUCUCCUGAUGCAUGUGGUGGAUUGGAGAGUGUCGGCUGUGGUGGCUCGUUUCGAUGCUUAUCAGCUAGUUGGUCGGGUAGUGGCUGUCAAAGGCUUUGACGGCUAGCCGGCAUGAGAGGGUGACCGGCCACAUUGGGACUGCGAUACGGACCAGACUCCUACGGGAGGCAGCAGUGGGGAAUAUUGCACAGUGGGCGGAAGCCUGAGGCAGAAACGCCGCGUGCGGGAUGACGGCCUACGGGUUGUAAACAGAUUUCGCAUGUGACGAAGAGGGAGUGACGGUAAUGGGUAAAGAAGCACCGGCUAACUACGUG
rnacentral:rRNA from 1 species